UUCAGGUGCCAGUAUUUUGGCCAAGAAUCCUUCUUCAAGACUUUCAUGCUCAAGAGUUGCUUUGUCAGUUUCUAUCUCACAGAGAACAUCACCAACCUCUAUCUUGUCACCUUCCUUUUUCCUCCAUUUAAAAAUGUUACCUUGGUUCAUGGUUGGGGACAAAGCUGGCAUAUCAAGGAUCAGAUGUGGAGGAAGUUCAGAUGAGCUGAUAUUCGCAGGACUCACUUCUGUAGCCCCAUCUCCCCUUGCUGCAUCUGUCUGAGAAGAUGCUUGAUUUUUAACCUCUGAUGCACCACCAACGGUAGCAGGGACUUUUUGUAUGUCAUCUGCUUCUUCCACCGUAAUUGCUAUAGUCUGUCCCACCGGUACAUCUUUUGUUCCUUCAGGGACCAAUAUCUUUGCAAGGAAACCUUCUUCAAGAGUUUCAAACUCAAGCGUUGCUUUAUCAGUCUCUAUCAAACAUAGUACAUCCCCUGCUUGAAUCUUGUCCCCCUCUUUCUUUAUCCAUUUUGCUAUAUUACCUUGAGUCAUUGUAGGGGACAAAGCUGGCAUUCCCACCUCUGUAUAUGAAGGAGCCUCAGCUGACGAGAAGUGCCGAACACCACUUUGUAGCUUAGAUGGUACGACAUGUACUUCACUGAGCAGGCGGAAAUUUAAAAGCCUUAAUGAAGAAGCAUCCACAUCAGGAAUUUGAUUCAGCACCCCAGGAACAUGAUGGAGCGAUCGGAGUGUGGAGGAGUUACAAGGACCGGCGGCGAGAAGACGGCGAGCUCGGAGUAGCGACGGAGCUCGGAAAAUCAACGGAUGACGAAGUCGAGAGAGCGCCAUCGAUCA
rnacentral:misc_RNA from 1 species